rnacentral:lncRNA from 1 species
UUAAAUACAUAUGCUGUUAUGGAAUGCAUCACAUCACAAGUAAUCACAUUCGGACGGACGGAUCCAAAAUUCCCUUGGCUCUGUGCCCGGCCCGCAAAGGAGCUCCUCAGGACUUCUGUUACACAUAAAUAUAAACUCUGUGCCCGGCCCUCAUGGGGCUCCUCAGGACUUCUGUUACAUGACAUACUCCCAAGGGCUAGUGGAUAAUACUCUGUGUCCGUCCACAUUUACAAGAAAUAAUGCAAUGCGUCAUAUUCGUGAUUUCUAAUGAGAUACAACCUAGUAUACACAUGGUAGUUAUGAUGCAUGAUUCAUGGUAAAACAUUCAUUUAAAAUACAGUUU